AAAUGGUAACAAAAACAGGUCAGUGAGAACAAAACAGUAGAAACAAAUGGUGAGGGCUGUUAAGCCAAGAUGAUGUGAAGUGGUGAACGCUGGAAAAAUGAGCUUUGAGAAGAGACAGAUGGGCAAGCCAUGUAUUCACCACUUCAGCAAGACACUUGUUCCUGUCUAUCCUAGUUUCUUAUCCCUCUAUUCUACACCUCACUCAUUUGAGAGGGUCCUGUCUUGAGGGUAUUUGGUGACCCCACUGAUGCUGCUGCCAUGUAAAAAAAGCACCCAGCCAGUUGGUGUUAGGAAAAGCAUCCAGCUGUGGAAGCCAUGCUAAAACAGACAUAGAACCUGGCACAACUCUCUGGCUCGUCUGUUCUUGCUGAACCAUCUAACCCAUGCCAGCAUGGAAAAAGGAACAUUAAAUGAUAAUGAUGAUGAUGCAUCAGUGAGGUUGAUGCUGUUUUGAUGCUGCAAGAAAAGCAACUUAUCUAAUAAUCACCGAAGUAGUCUCCCGAGGGCCUACCAAUAGAUAUGGUAUACUACUACAUCCUGGAUGUUAUGCAUCAAGAAUGGGAGGGUGUGAGUGGAUGUAGGGUGCCACAAACCAUGAGUAAAAACCAUGGUACAUGCUGGUAGUUAAUCAUCCUGGAUUAAAAGAGAUGUCAUCUGUCAUCUCACAUUAUAUCGUCAUCAUCAUCAUCAUUUAACAUCUGUUUUCCAUGAGCUGGACAGUUUGACCGAAGGUGUUAAGUUCAGGGUGGGGGGUAGCCUACACCAGACUCCAUUGUCUGUUCUGGCAUGGUUUCUUUGGUUGGAUGCCGUUCCUAAUACCAAUCACUUUAUAGUAUAUAUUGAGUGCUUUUAUAUGUGACAUCAGCACCAGUGUUUUUAAUGUGGCACCAUUUCUUUUACUUACUUCAGUCAUUGGACAGUUGACAUGCUGCGGUAAAGCCUCAAAGGAUUUAGUUAAAUGACACUACACACUCUGAGUGGUUGGCAUUAGGAAGGGCAUCCAGCUGUAGAAACUCUGCCAAAUCAGAUUGGAGCCUGGUGUAGCCAUCUGGUUUCACCAGUCCUCAGUCAAAUCGUCCAACCCAUGCUAGCAUGGAAAGAGGACGUUAAACGAUGAUGAUGAUGCUGAUGAUGAAUGGACGCCAGCACUUAUUUUUAAGUUUAUGGAGAAAAACCUGCAAAAGUUGACAAAUUGAGGGCAGCCAAUGAACAAUAAUGCACACAAAUACCAAAUCGGAUGUUUACAAUCCUGUUCCUUUACACUAUCAGCAGUACCUGAACAACAACAGUCAUCAGUUUGAAAACAGGCAUUCAUAAAAAAUUUUAAUUCUGCCCCUAGAGCGUAUUCAAUUUUGAAAAUAAAAUGUAUUUUAAGAA